rnacentral:lncRNA from 1 species
CUUAUGAAAAACCCUCGGGGGGGCCACUUCAAACUUUUUUUGGUAGGGGUGAGCAGCUGAGACAUCAAGUACCCCAGCCUUUUCAUAUAUUUUGUUAAUCAAAAAUAUAUACCUUUUCAUAUAUUAAUUAACAAAAAACAGACCUAUAGAUAUAUUUCAAUAUUUUCCCCGCUCAUCAUCUUGUUAAGAAGCAAAAUAGUCGCAACAAUAUCACCUUCUUUUCCAAUAAAUUCGUUUACAUCUUAAACACUUUUUUGUUAUUGCCCAUUUUACAUCUUUCAUUAUGAAGAUAUUUCAAUUCCAAAAUACAAUACAUAUAAAAGACGUUUGGUCAGAUCAUAGAUGGUAUUAACAUAUGUGGUCAGACAAAUGUAAUAUCACCCCAGAGUGUAACACCUUCACUGAUUUUAACAUGUUUAAAUAUUAAUUAAAAACUGAUAAAAAGUUUCAUUGCCGUUCCCUCUUAAAGGACGCUGUCACAAUGGAAUUUCUUUAAAUAAUUGUUAUCAUGUUUUAUGUAUACAAACCCUUGAAUGUUAAUUAGGUGCAAAUGUCAAAAUAGUUGGAUUUAUUGCAUCUAUCACUGGCAUCAGUGGAAAUACCACAUCAGAAUAAAUAGAGUUUAAUUGGUUUGACAAAUAACUGAUGCAUUUACAACUGUGGUUUAACCCCAUCAAGAAUAAAUACCGACAUCUGAUUAGUUUCAGAUACUUAUGAUAUAAUCAAGCAAGUGAUAAUAUCAACCUAUUGAUAUAUUUAAUCUGAAUUUCUCACCCUUUUCAUAUAUCAUAGAGCAUGAAAAAGUGACCUAUUCCAGCGGCUCAUCCCUACCACUAAUUAUAUAGCAAGUGGCCCCCCCGAGGAAAAACCA